UAUUUUUUUUUUUACCUCAUUUCUGGCUAGAGGAUGGUGCAAAAUAAAAUUUGGCUAUUGUUGAAAAUUGUUGGGGCGGGAGGGCGGCCUUGUAUUUUUUUUUUUUUUUUAAUGAGAAAGUCAUUACUUGUCUACAGUUUUGCUUUCAGUUAUAUAUUAUACAUACUUAGAACAUAAACCCAAAAAUCAAGUCUACUCAAACACUGAACACUGACUGUAAGGAAAAUAAUUUUCCAUAUUUAAUUCACGUAAUGUAGCUUACUAAUGGUAAUGGUGACAACCAUAAUUGAAAUUGGUUUAAAAUAAAAUUCCGUACGACUAUUAAUAGCCGUCCAUAAUAAUGACAAUAUUUUAAAGGGUAAGCCUCUGUCAGCAUGUGUAUCAAAAAUAAUCAUCACGGUAAACGACACUUAGAUCUAAAUCUAGUAUCGCUGGUUUAUAAUGAUUGACCUAAUUCCAACCAAUGCAUGUCACGUGUCAUCGGGAUUCGGGAAAUGACUGUUUCUCAGGAUAUUCGGUGUGUUUCUCAGGAUAUUCGGUGUUCUAUCUGGGGUUUAUAUCGAAUGACUAUUUAAAUUUAACUAACAACUGGUCAGUAAAACCAUCAAAUGUGUAAUCCAAUUAUUAUUUUCCGGAUUAUCAAAACUACCGUUAAAUGUGCUAAUGACCCAGAUUCUGACUAAGGUAUGGUGACUAUCAUCGUAUCGUAUUCGUAGCCACAAUUUAUAAUAAUUAACCUGUUCUACGAUUCAUUGUUUUAUAAGUAGGAUUUUUUCAAACAUGAACCGACUGAAGCCGGCAAUAAUGAGCCGAUUAAGAUCGAAUGAUUGAAAUACAAUGCAUUGUUGUCAAUGACUUUCGGUGUUUAACACGAAUCAAAUUCUAGUUCACAAGGGGAGGUAAUUAAAAUCACGUGAUACAAAAAUGGAGGUUCUUUCGAUAUCUAUAAAAA